rnacentral:snRNA from 1 species
GUGCUCGCUUCGGCAGCACAUAUACUAAAAUUAGAACGAUACAGAGAAGAUUAGCAUGGCCCCUGUGCAAAGAUGACACGCAAAUUCAUGAAGCGUUCCAUUAAAAA